rnacentral:rRNA from 1 species
AAACGGUCCCUUCAUAACCAGUCAUCCAUAGUAUCAAAUAGAUCAUUUUCUUCUUUAGGAAUUCUACCUAGGGCUAUAGUCAUUUUGAUCCUCCUAUUCAACUACUUCAACCAUUUCCGAGCACCUCAUAUCAAUUCCAAGGCAUAAGAUAGUUUUAUCAUCCGUGGACGAUUUCUUUCUCGUUCAAUGCCGCUUUUCAAUGGUCUCGAAGAGAGAAAUUUCCCAUUUUUAUCUAUGGAGUCACAACCGAGGUCGUGGUAA